rnacentral:rRNA from 1 species
CCGGUCCUAUGUUUAAGCACUUAUACCGCGAAACUGCGAAUGGCUCAUUAUAUAAGUUAUCGUUUAUUUGAUAAUACUUUACUACUUGGAUAACCGUGGUAAUUCUAGAGCUAAUACAUGCUAAAAAUCCCGACUUCGGAAGGGUUGUAUUUAUUAGAUUAAAAACCAAUGCCCCUCGGGGCUCUCUGGUGAAUCAUGAUAACUAGUCGAAUCGACAGGCCUUGUGCCGGCGAUGGCUCAUUCAAAUUUCUUCCCUAUCAACUUUCGAUGUUUGGGUCUUGUCCAAACAUGGUGGCAACGGGUAACGGAGGGUUAGGGCUCGACCCCGGAGAAGGAGCCUGAGAAACGGCUACUACAUCCAAGGAAGGCAGCAGGCGCGCAAAUUACCCAAUCCCGACACGGGGAGGUAGUGACAAUAAAUACUGAUACAGGGCUCUUUUGGGUCUUGUAAUCGGAAUGAGUACAAUUUAAAUCCCUUAACGAGGAACAAUUGGAGGGCAAGUCUGGUGCCAGCAGCCGCGGUAAUUCCAGCUCCAAUAGCGUAUAUUAAAGUUGUUGUGGUUAAAAAGCUCGUAGUUGAACCUUGGGCCUGGCUGGCCGGUCCGCCUCACCGCGUGCACUGGUCCGGCCGGGCCUUUCCCUCUGCGGAACCCCAUGCCCCUUCACUGGGUGUGGCGGGGAAACAGGACUUUUACUUUGAAAAAAUUAUAGUGCUCAAGGCAGGCUUUUGCUCCAAUCCUUACCUGGAAUAACCC